CUCCAUCUCCAAAUCCUUUCGAUCCUUCGAAUUUUGCCUGCAUUUCUGGUGAUUGAUGUUCUGCACCCUGGAAGACCCAAUUUUUCCAAGGUAACCACAGUUUGGAAGUUACGAACUUCAGUGUUGUUGUAGGUUCUUUUUGCCUGUUUGAUUGUUUUAUUUCACAAUUAAUUUUACUGAAAGCUGUUGGUUUGCACCUUGUGUUUUGUUUUUUGUUUUUUUUUAAUCUCAGGCUGAGCUUAAGGAGAAGCUUGGAAGGAUGUGCGAUGUGAAGGAACCCAACUCAAUAAUACACAUUUUGCAAGAGCUAAUUUGGAUCUUGAUUAUGGAUAUUUAGUUAACCUUAAUAAUGUAAAUGAGGGGUCUAGUGCUUCAAAUGAUAAUUUAUCUU